AAAUUGAAGAGUUUGAUCAUGGCUCAGAUUGAACGCUGGCGGCAGGCCUAACACAUGCAAGUCGAACGGUAACAGGAAGCAGCUUGCUGCUUUGCUGACGAGUGGCGGACGGGUGAGUAAUGUCUGGGAAACUGCCCGAUGGAGGGGGAUAACUACUGGAAACGGUAGCUAAUACCGCAUAACGUCGCAAGACCAAAGAGGGGGACCUUCGGGCCUCUUGCCAUCGGAUGUGCCCAGAUGGGAUUAGCUAGUAGGUGGGGUAACGGCUCACCUAGGCGACGAUCCCUAGCUGGUCUGAGAGGAUGACCAGCCACACUGGAACUGAGACACGGUCCAG
rnacentral:rRNA from 1 species